CAGCCGCCGCGGGAAUACGAAGGGUGCAAGCGUUACUCGGAAUUACUGGGCGUAAAGCGUGCGUAGGUGGUGGUUUAAGUCCGUUGUGAAAGCCCUGGGCUCAACUUGGGAAUUGCAGUGGAUACUGGGUCACUAGAGUGUGGUAGAGGAUAGUGGAAUUUCCGGUGUAGCAGUGAAAUGCGUAGAGAUCGGAAGGAACAUCUGUGGCGAAGGCGACUAUCUGGGCCAACACUGACACUGAGGCACGAAAGCGUGGGGAGCAAACAGGAUUAGAUACCCCCGUAGUCCCUGUCUCUUAUAC
rnacentral:rRNA from 1 species